rnacentral:rRNA from 1 species
CCUACGGGGGGCUGCAGUGAGGAAUAUUGGGCAAUGGAGGCAACUCUGACCCAGCCAUGCCGCGUGCAGGAAGACGGCCCUAUGGGUUGUAAACUGCUUUUGUACGAGAAGAAACACUCCUUCGUGAAGGGGCUUGACGGUAUCGUAAGAAUAAGGAUCGGCUAACUCCGUGCCAGCAGCCGCGGUAAUACGGAGGAUCCAAGCGUUAUCCGGAAUCAUUGGGUUUAAAGGGUCCGUAGGCGGUCUUAUAAGUCAGUGGUGAAAUCUCCUAGCUCAACUAGGAAACUGCCAUUGAUACUGUAGGACUUGAAUGUUUGUGAAGUAACUAGAAUAUGUAGUGUAGCGGUGAAAUGCUUAGAUAUUACAUGGAAUACCAAUUGCGAAGGCAGGUUACUAACAGAUGAUUGACGCUGAUGGACGAAAGCGUGGGGAGCGAACAGGAUUAGAUACCCCGGUAGUC